UACGUAGGCAGCAAGCGUUGUUCGGAGUUACUGGGCGUAAAGGGUGCGUAGGCGGCUUCUUAAGUCUGAUGUGAAAUCCCCGGGCUCAACCUGGGAAUGGCAUUGGAUACUGGCUCGCUGGAGUGCGGUAGAGGGUGGUGGAAUUCCCGGUGUAGCAGUGAAAUGCGUAGAGAUCGGGAGGAACAUCUGUGGCGAAGGCGGCCACCUGGACCAGCACUGACACUGAGGCACGAAAGCGUGGGGAGCAAACAGG
rnacentral:rRNA from 1 species